UGCUUCUGAAGGUCAGAACCACAGGCUUCAGUGCUGCCAGAUAACCUUUCCAUUUCUGAGGAGUCCCCAGAGGCUGGAGGCCCAGAAAAUGACGGAAAGGGGUUGAAAGAUGGACAUCUUUUGGGUCGAGAAAUUGUUUGAUUUAAGCAUAAAAUAAGCUGUUUAAGGUUUCUUGUUCAAAUAUUGGAAGCUGUAUUGUGCCUCCUCUAAAUCGUAUCUGAAAAUAAUGUAGAACCCUGCUUCCUGACGGCCCAUGGUGCUGGGUGGCUUGGAGUCGUGCACAGAGCCAGGCCCCUCUCUCAGAUGUUCUGGCUGCCUGCGUUUGUGCCUUCAGGGCAGGCGGCCAGUCACUGAGAGGGGGCUGGGAUGGGAAAAUCAAUGUGUUCCUGUGGGCUUCUUCUUGUUGAAUUUUGCUCCACAGGUUGGAGGAUAAGUUCCAGUCCUCCUAACUAGGCCGUAAAGUCUGGGUGGACUGGAUGCUCACUGGAACCUGUGGAGUUUGUAAAACAAGGAGCUCACUGCCUCGCGUGGUCAGGAGAGGCAGGAGUAAGAGCGGGCGUGAAGGCCUGGGAGUUGGAAGGAAGUUGGGACUCAGCUCCUUGUGGCCCUUCCCUUUGAGAUUCACCAAAGGAAAAAGAGAUGUCUCCUUGCUGAGAGCAAAAUGGAACCUUCUUUCCGCACAUAAAGCCCUUCCCCACUGCAGGUUAUUCCAAAGGAGGAGAAGCAUGACUUCCAAAUGCCAUCGGAGGAAACCGGCCUGUCUAAUGGAGACGAGGACGGCUGAGCGCUUAUGCGUGCACGGACGCCUCUGCUGCAUCAAACGAUUCUUCAUGAUGAGAGAAGGUGCAUCAUGGAGAGAGCACCAGCACCUCUUUCUAGCACUCCAGUUCCCUAAUUCCUGCUGCUCCUGUGUCUGAAACCAUAGCAUCCUCAUUGGACCACACCAGCAACAAAUGCAAAUUGACCACAGUCCUCUUAGAUGUAUUCAAAACACAUCAUAGAGAAGACGACACUUGAAGAUGAGAAGGGUUAAAAAAAGAGCACUGUUCUCCUGGCAUGCUGGGAUGAGUGCCUAAAAGUGGACGUUGGUCAGGUUCCAUGUGCACAUCAGCUGGGUCCAGGAGGCACGUGGAAAACCUCUUUAGGGUGAGGAUGUGCCUGGGCAAUGGAAGCAUCCAGAAAGAGCGAGGAUCUUUUGCAGGACUUGCUGAUGGGUGGUUGAUCACUCACACAGAGGGAAGGAACCAUGGACUCCAUGAUAAUGACUCUUCAGCCACCUUCUGUAUUUCUAGAGCAUUGAAAAUAGAACCACCAUGUAUGGCAUAUAGAAUGUCUUACAGAAAAAAGGUGUGGUAAAGUAUUUGUUUUGACAAGUUACCUUGCAAGUGAUGUGAAAGCAACUUGGAGAAAAAUAUCCUCAUCUAAUGCAUCCUGUAGCCUAAAUUUGUUGAUGUCAUAAAAAUAUUUUUAGUAGAUUUUUAUAAGUUGGAUACACUCCAGGAGAUAGAUAAGCAAAAUAGGAUCUAAAAAACAUAAUAGAUUCUAGAAUUAGAGCAGCAUAGGAAGUAAAAAGAAGUUAUAUAAAGAUAGGAGAAAUGUAUAAAUACUACAAAAGGACACUGAACUAUGUUAGGGCCUUUACUAAGGGAUUGAAAAAAUUGGCUAAGUCUAUAAAAGACACUGAGAGACUUGAAAAAACUAGAUAAAGGUAGAGUAGUGAUGUCCUUGUGGGAGUUUAAAACAAAAUAAAGAAGUUAUUCAGGAGAGUAAUUAUUGAGGAUCUCAAACAAGUGUAAAGUGUAGUUUCACAGCUUAGGAAGAUAACUCAGUUCUGGGAGCCCUUAUCUCUACUCCAGAUAUUGGUAGAGUUCUGGAUCUAUUUGAGAAGAUCCCAAGACAAUUUCAGAGGAUUUUGGCUGUAGAAGACAUACCAGUGACUGUCUUGAUGAGCUUGGCCCCUUUAAGUCAGAAGUGAUCACCUGUAGGCUGGGUUGACCUUGACCAUGGGCCUCAUAUUUUUUACCUACAGGCUGGCUCUCAGCCAACUUCCAAGCUCUGGGCUCCUCCUUCUGAGCUUCCCCGACCAUGGUCUUGUUCCUGGGCCACCUGACUGAUUUUUGAAUGCCUGAGGACUUGUUUCCAUCUCUGUGUGCCCAAGUCUUGGCCAAGCUCCUAUUUCUGAAGACUUAGUUGCAACAUCUGCCCCUGCUGGGGAUGGUCGUCGCUUUCCUAGCUGACACACAGUCCAGCUCGAGUCCAGUCUCUUCUGUGGUUGUUCCGAGCAGCAGGAAGCACUGUCUUCUGGAUUCACUGCAGAACUUAAGUGUACAGUUUCUGUAUCUGUUGCUGCAUCCAGAUUGGACAGUGACCCUGGCUGAGACAUCCCUUACUCCUGUUUCAGAUAAGCUCCGCUGGCAUUUAAAAUCUCAGUGCCCUCUGCCCCAUUUGUCCAGAGGAAAGUACAGUGGAACACUUCACCCAGAAAUGCAGAAGAAACACAUGCUUGGCUAGUGCUGCUGACUGAAUCUUGGCUCUCAAGCUCCAAGGUGGUAGUACAAAUGCAGAGGGCACUGCUGCUACAGCUGCCUGGCACACCUGUAGACUAUGCAGCAUAUUUCAGCCUUCGGUGUUGGAAUGGUAUUUCCAAAUAUAGACUCAAAGGAUCCUCAGGUGCUCGCUUCUAGCAUAGAGCCAGGGGUCCUGUCUUGCACACGGGCCUGCAGCAUGGGGAGAGGACCGGUCUUCUGUACCUCUUGCUUCAAACUCUUCUACCUUCAGGAGGCCAGAGAGGGAUGUGGGUCUACAUCUUGAAAUAUGUGCCUUGAACAAGAAUUACUAACCCGUAGAAAACUUGUCUGACUUUGAACAAAGUCUCAGUUUACAGACGCCUAUGGAAAUAUCAAAAUAAAGCAUCAGAAGAAACAGUCACAUUGGAGGCCAUUAACUAAGGGGAAAACCUGAAAAAUAAAGUUCUAUUUGCCAAAAACUGUC